rnacentral:rRNA from 1 species
UACGAGAGGCCCAAACGUUAUUCGGAUUUACUGGGCGUAAAGCGUGUGUAGGCGGCCACGUAAGUCGGAUGUGAAAGCCCCAGGCUCAACCUGGGAAGUGCACUCGAUACUGCGUGGCUUGAGUAUCGGAGAGGUUGGUGGAAUUCUCGGUGUAGAGGUGAAAUUCGUAGAUAUCGAGAGGAACACCGGUGGCGAAGGCGGCCAACUGGACGAAUACUGACGCUGAGACACGAAAGCGUGGGGAGCAAACAGG